rnacentral:ncRNA from 1 species
AAAACGGCCCUUUUAAGUGCCACCAAUAUUGUUUUAAAAAGAAUC